rnacentral:rRNA from 1 species
GUUGACCCUGCCAGUAGCAUAUGCUUGUCUCUGAGACUAAGCCAUGCAUGUCUAAGUAUAAAUUAAUUUUUACGGUGAAACUGCGGACGGCUCAUUAAAUCAGUUAUAACCUACUUGAUCGUGUGACUUUAUUCGGAUAACCCUAGUAAUUCUAGAGCUAAUACGUGCUAAAAGCCUUAACUUCCAGCAAUGGGGGAAGAGGUGUAUUUAUUAGAAACUAAAACCAAUCAGCUUCGGCUGUUUGAGAUGAUUCAUAAUAACUCGGCAAAUUACGGGAAAAUUCCUGUGAUGAUUCAAACGGAUUUCUGACCUAUCAACUUUAGAUGGCAAAGUAGGGGUUUGCCAUGGUGACAACGGGUGACGGGGAAUUAGGGUUCGAUUCCGGAGAGGGAGCCUGAGAAACGGCUACCACUUCCAAGGAAGGCAGCAGGCGCGCAAAUUACCCAAUGCUAAUUCGGCGAGGUAGUGACAAGAAAUACCAAUGUAGGACCCAACGGGUACUACGUUUGGAAUGAGAACAAUUUAAAAACCUUAACGAGGAACAAUUGGAGGGCAAGUCUGGUGCCAGCAGCCGCGGUAAUUCCAGCUCCAAUAGUGUAUAUUAAAGUUGCUGCGGUUAAAAAGCUCGUAGUUGGAUUACGAAGUGGUGUUUAAAUGUCAUUUUGGUUUGUUUGUCUUUCGGGGCAUUCAGGUCAACUUGGCUUUUACUCACUGUUGUCAUUGUCUUUGCCCAAGGUAUAUGCCUUGUGUGCAUGGCAUUGACCUUCUAUUUUAUGGUAAUGUUGUAUCUUUCGGGGUACAUUCAUUCCAUAUAGUUUACUUUGAAAAAAUUAGGGUGUUUAAAGCAGGCGAAAAGGCUUCGGAAUAUAUUAGCAUGGGAUAAUAGAAUACGAUCUAGGUCGUAAUUUGUUGGUUUCUACGGCUUAGGUAAUGAUUGACAGGGAUAGUUGGGGUCGCUCGUAUUGAGUUGUCAGAGGUGAAAUUCUAGGAUUAACUCAAGACGAACUAAUGCGAAAGCAUUCGGCAAGGAUGUUUUCAUUAAUCAAGAACGAAAGUUGGGGGAUCGAAGAUGAUCAGAUACCGUCGUAGUCUCAACUGUAAACUAUGUCGACCGAGGAUCCGGUAGCGUUACAUGGAUGACCUUCCGGGCACUCUGUGAGAAAUCAUAAGUAUUUGGAUUUCGGGGGGAGUAUGGUCGCAAGGCUGAAACUUAAAGGGAUUGACGGAAGGGCACCACCAGGAGUGGAAUCUGCGGCUUAAUUUGACACAACACGGGAAAACUUACCAGGUCCGGACACAGUGAGGAUUGACAGAUUGAGAGCUCUUUCUUGAUUUUGUGGGUGGUGGUGCAUGGCCGUUUUUAGUUGGUGGAGUGAUUUGUCUGGUUAAUUCCGUUAACGAACGAGACCUUAACCUAUUAAAUAGCUGCGCGAACCCUG